GAAAAGAGUUACACUAAGCAAACACCCUAAACAUAAUACUUGUCUCUUAUUUUCACAACUGUACUUACCAUAGUAAUACCUUGCGUGAAUGAUACACAUUCUGCUUUGACCCUCUAGAAUCCAUAUGUCGUCCUCCUCAUCAUUCUAAAGAACUCAUCAACGUUCACUUCACCAUCAUGAUCUCGGUCCGCCUCAUCAAUCAUCUCUUGAAUGUCUUUGUCAGUGAAGACCUCACCCAGCUCCUUUGCUAUGCGCUUGAUGUCAUUGCCAGAUAUCUUCCCAUUGUUAUCAUGGUCAAUGAUUCGAAAUGCUUUCAUAAGCUCCUCCUUAGUGUCUCUCUCUCCAAUUUUUGCUGUCAUCAUGUAUUCAAAUUCAUCAUAAUCAAUGGCACCACUUCCAUCUUUGUCCACAUCUGCAAUCAUUUGUCUUAUUUGCUCGUCGGUCAUCUCAAAACCAAGAGCCCUCAUUGCAACAUUAAGCUCUUUGGCAUCAAUAGUCCCAGAGCCAUCAGUGUCAAAUAACUCAAAAGCCUCCUUAAUCUCCUGCUUCUUUUGGGGAGUUAAGCCAUGACGUCCUUUAGGCUUUUCCUUCCUAGAAGCACCUCUGUAUAAGCUUGCCAUGGUAGACGAUGCCGCAGCACGAUAAAGAAAUCCAGAGAAAGUUCGAACGUCUAAU
rnacentral:misc_RNA from 1 species